UUUGGAUUCCGGGAACCUUUAUCGUCACUGCAUGUCUAUUUCAGCUCUCCGCCGCCGCUGCUUGUUGUUCUGAACUGCUGCACCGUCGUUGCCGCCGUUCGGGUCACUGGGAACAUGGCAGUGAUCACCGGAACCACCAUCGGAGUUAUCGUUAUUUCAAUUCAGCCGUUCGUCGUUGUUUGGGAUCGAGUUCCGGGUCUUGAUUGCUGAGUUCUAUGGCUGUAGCAUACAACAUCAAGGGGCUGUGUCGUCACCGGAGCUGCUGUUGCUCCAUUUUCUCAAUUAUUUGUAAGCCCAGUAAGUCGUUCCUUGUUCCAAACUCUUUUAGUUGCUAUUCUGUUAUAGACUAUUGAGUUUACGCGACAUUAAUGUUUUAGGAUUGAGCUAAGGCUAUGUUUAGAGGUUGUGGCUGCUGCGGGGACGGUCAGUAUUGAUGUUGCUGCUGUGGAAUAAGAAUAAAAAUGUAGUUUGUCGCGUAGUUAGAUCGCGAAUGAGCUUUACCUUUUCAGGAACCAGAUGAAGAAGUAUUAAGAAGAGUUAUACUGCGUUUGGUUUAUAUGCUGUUGUCUUAAUUAGAUUAUUUUCUUCCCUCGUCUUUGUUAUUACAAGUUUGUAAGAGGGAUAGGAAUCGUAUGUUUUAUAUAUACAAUAUAUUGAAUUAUUAUGUAAGGAGUCUUGUAUA